rnacentral:rRNA from 1 species
UACGUAGGGGCCUAGCGUUGUCCGGAUUUAUUGGGCGUAAAGAGCUCGUAGGCGGUUUGGUAAGUCGGGUGUGAAAUCUCCACGCUCAACGUGGAGGGGCCACCCGAUACUGCCAUGACUGGAGUCCGGUAGGGGAGUGUGGAAUUCCCGGUGUAGCGGUGAAAUGCGCAGAUAUCAGGAAGAACACCCGUGGCUAAGGCGGCUCUCUAGUACGUGACUGACGCUGAGACGCGAAAGCGUGGGGAGCGAACAGG